UCCCAGACUCCUACGGGAGGCAGCAGUGGGGAAUAUUGCACAAUGGGGGAAACCCUGAUGCAGCGACGCCGCGUGAGCGAAGAAGUACCUCGGUAUGUAAAGCUCUAUCAGCAGGGAAGAAAAUGACGGUACCUGAGUAAGAAGCCCCGGCUAACUACGUGCCAGCAGCCGCGGUAAUACGUAGGGGGCAAGCGUUAUCCGGAUUUACUGGGUGUAAAGGGAGCGUAGACGGCCAGACAAGUCUGAAGUGAAAAUCCAGCGCUUAACGUUGGAGGUGCUUUGGAAACUGCCGGGCUGGAGUGCAGGAGGGGCAGGCGGAAUUCCUAGUGUAGCGGUGAAAUGCGUAGAUAUUAGGAGGAACACCAGUGGCGAAGGCGGCCUGCUGGACUGCAACUGACGUUGAGGCUCGAAGGCGUGGGGAGCAAACAGGAUUAGAUACCCUCGUA
rnacentral:rRNA from 1 species